rnacentral:rRNA from 1 species
ACGAACGCUGGCGGCGUGCUUAACACAUGCAAGUCGAGCGGUAAGGCUCCUUCGGGAGUACACGAGCGGCGAACGGGUGAGUAACACGUGAGCAAUCUGCCCAUCACAUCGGGAUAACUUCGGGAAACCGAAGCUAAUACCGAAUACAACCACUUCAGGCAUCUGACGGUGGUGGAAAGUUCCGGCGGUGAUGGAUGAGCUCGCGGCCUAUCAGCUUGUUGGUGGGGUAAUGGCCCACCAAGGCUUCGACGGGUAGCCGGCCUGAGAGGGUGACCGGCCACACUGGGACUGAGACACGGCCCAGACUCCUACGGGAGGCAGCAGUGGGGAAUAUUGGACAAUGGGCGAAAGCCUGAUCCAGCAACGCCGCGUGAGGGAUGACGGCCUUCGGGUUGUAAACCUCUUUCAGCGCCGACGAAGCGAAAGUGACGGUAGGCGCAGAAGAAGCACCGGCCAACUACGU